rnacentral:rRNA from 1 species
UACGUAGGGCGCGAGCGUUGUCCGGAUUUAUUGGGCGUAAAGAGCUCGUAGGCGGCUUGUCGCGUCGUCCGUGAAAACCUGGGGCUCAACUGUGGGCUUGCAGUCGAUACGGGCAGGCUGGAGUUCGGUAGGGGAGACUGGAAUUCCUGGUGUAGCGGUGAAAUGCGCAGAUAUCAGGAGGAACACCGGUGGCGAAGGCGGGUCUCUGGGCCGAUACUGACGCUGAGGAGCGAAAGCGUGGGGAGCGAACAGG